AGCGUUGAAGUAAGGGAGUGUGCCGGAACGCAUUGCCUUAUGGAGCUUUCAGGAGGGGUUGUGCGGUGAAACCUCAAGCCGGUGUAGGCCGCAGGCUGAAAGAAAAUGCAC
rnacentral:sRNA from 1 species